UCUCCUUUAUCAAGGAACUGGACUUCAUUCUCCUGCAAAAGCUGCUUGAUCUUGACCUGUUGCUGUUUGACCCGGGUCUCAAGCAGGCGCACCUGGGCUCUGAGCCGCAUCUGCUCCUGGGCACAGUCCUCGAGCGCCUGCAAAACAGUUCCCAUUUCAGAAUAUUAUUCCAAAGAGAAAGUGGCUUGAAAAGUUCUAAUACUGCCUACUAUUUGAAGAAUUGGAAAUUAUGGCUUAUGCGAAAACUCCUGGACUCAAAAGAUCAAAUAAUAUAAAAUAAUUGGAAUCGCUAUGCUAGGAGCUUUAUAGUUGUCUCCUUUGAUCCUCAUAACAAUUCCAUGCGGUAGGAAAGGGCUCAGUCUUGAUGCCCAGUGGGUAAGCGGAGGUGGGAUUCAAAUUCAGUUCAAGGACUGUGCUCUCAAUCUCUAUAUGACAUUGCUUAUGUGUUUUCUAAACAGUAAUGUGGUUUAUAGAAGUUAAUUGUACUGUUGGCAUGUAAAUCUCCAUAAUAAAUGAGGUUUUUGAAUGG
rnacentral:lncRNA from 1 species